AGAAUCAACGCUGGCGGCGUGCCUAACACAUGCAAGUCGAACGAGAAAGUGGAGCAAUCCACGAGUAAAGUGGCGCACGGGUGAGUAACACGUGACUAACCUACCCUUGAGUGGGGGAUAACCUAGGGAAACCUGGGCUAAUACCGCAUAAUACCUACGGGUCAAAGGAGCAAUUCGCUUAAGGAGGGGGUCGCGGCCGAUUAGUUAGUUGGCGGGGUAAUGGCCCACCAAGACGAUGAUCGGUAUCCGGCCUGAGAGGGCGCACGGACACACUGGAACUGAAACACGGUCCAGACUCCUACGGGAGGCAGCAGUGGGGAAUUUUGCGCAAUGGGGGAAACCCUGACGCAGCAACGCCGCGUGGAGGAUGAAGUCCCUUGGGACGUAAACUCCUUUCGAUCGGGACGAUUAUGACGGUACCGGAAGAAGAAGCCCCGGCUAACUUCGCGCCAGCAGCCGC
rnacentral:rRNA from 1 species